rnacentral:snoRNA from 1 species
GCGGAUGAUUAUACAAUUUUUAACUCGUAGCGUUCAUGGGAAUGCUUUGAAGAUCAAAAAUAGCAACAACAAACACUCUAAUUUUUUGCUGACG